CUCCUUUUACCAAUGAAGAGAGAAUAAGAUUGGAUGGUUACCAUUGUCUUCAAAAUGAUCUUGGGUUAUGAUCACACAAGUCCUAACAAGAAAUGAGUUCUUCAGAAUUGUCAACACAUAAAGAUUUAAAAAACAAGAUUUAGCGAUGGAAGAUAAUUUGCCCAAAGUCAUUGAUGAGAAAGUGGCAGAGCUAGAAUUCAAAAUCCAGUUUAUCCAACUCUGAAGGAAGGACGCCAACAACUUAUGUUCGUAGAGAGAGAGAGAUGUCAUGUGGCCUAUACAUUGUUGGAAACUGAGUUGUCAAAAUGAUUCCAAAAGAUGGUUUAUUUCAGUAAGAAAAUAUACCAAUCCUGGAGGCCUAAAUUUGCCCCAAAAAUGUCACAUUGAACUCUAACAUCCUUAUGCUGAUAGAGAUGGCAUCUCUGCUCAGGUCAAGUUCAGCUGUGAAGAGCAGAUGACAAAGUCACAGUGGAUGAAAAGGUACAGUCAUUGUCUGCGUUUUCCCUGAACCUUGGUGCCAGCCAAUACCAAAGUUCCUGGGAUCUAACCUCCUACUCAGAGAGCUCUUGAAGUUGGGCUUGCUUCUCUCAGUCCACUGGCCUGUUUUUGAUCCUUCUAAGGAUUGAUGCCUUACCUCAUCACCCUGGGAGGCAAGCAAAGUCAAUGCUUGGUCUUUGGCAAGGUAUUCUGUGCUGUUUAUGAUGCCACAGCUAUUUGGCAGUGAUGCCUGCCCCUCCCACCCUCAAUGUCAGGCAGCCUGUAUCUCUGCCAGCACCAUCAGUGGGGAGAGGAACUAGUACUUCAAAGGUCUCAGUGCGGCUCAUAAAAGAUGAGGAGGAUUGACCCAAGCCAAGAUGAAGAUUGUACAUUUGGCAGUUAUGUUUGGAUAUGAUGAUGAGAUAACCCAUAGAAAUGCAGGAUUAACUGGAAGGAAGUCUGGAUUUAAUAGCCCUUGAGCAGGCUAAAAAUAAAUGUCAAAGAGAAUUAAAAUCCCUGGGGGAAAACACUUGAUAUCUCACACCCAUCAAAGAAGGAGAAGAAAAGGAGGACAAAGCAAAUAGUACCACUCAAAUAGUACCACUUAGGAUUCAAAGAGUUGACUACAGAUGAUAAUAACGUCAAACAUCCAGAGAAUGAAAAUGAAAUGAGGGAGGGAAAUGAAAUACUCAAAAGCCAUGAUCAGCAAGGUGAUGAAGAACUGAAGGCACUGCGAAAGUCUGGGGACAGUGAGCAAGAAUAGAGACUCUGAAGGGUUUAAAAGGGAACAAUUAUUGCAGGAAACUAGAAACCAGAAAUCAGCUGGAAACUCACUACAAGUUUCAAGCUUUUUCAAAGAAGAGGGCAAAACUGAAUAUGAGUUCAAAGGACAAUUAAAUAUCCAAAGUCCACUGCCAAUGCAAGUUGGAACUAACCUCUUUUGCUCCCAGAUGGGAAGACUUUCAAUUCCUAGGUAUGAAAGUCUUUGACUCCAGUAGCCCGUACCUGGCUGCAGCGAGAGGGGAAGCUAUUAUCAGACUUCGUGUUUAGUCAUACCCUGUUCCAAAAGCCAUAUAAAGUGUCUUACAAGAAAAUAGAAACAUUGCAACACGACAAUAAAAAUUGGAAGAAAGUGAAAGAAUUCAGGCAAAAAGAGAACAAAGUAGAGCUUAUGAAACAAAGGCAAAAAUAAAUAACACACAAAUAAAUCUUUACAAUAAAAUCUGACAAGAAUGGUUUCCAG
ensembl:lncRNA